rnacentral:misc_RNA from 1 species
AACGAAACUGACCAACGAGCCGCGAACAAACGAACAGGCGAGUGUCUCGACGGACGAAGAACAUAUCGUUCGAUAGAGAUCGACACUGGGGAAGACGACGAGUAUAAAGUGUAAAAUGGACGCGUGUACGUCUAUGAGGACAUUUAGAAUCUCUAGCAGCAGAUACGAUGGGCCGUCGGAAAGUUGGAAGCCGAGCUUGAAUCUUUUCCAAUUUGA